AUUGAACGCUGGCGGCAUGCCUUACACAUGCAAGUCGAACGGCAGCACGGGAGCAAUCCUGGCGGCGAGUGGCGAACGGGUGAGUAAUAUAUCGGAACGUGCCCAGUAAUGGGGGAUAGCCCGGCGAAAGCCGGAUUAAUACCGCAUACGACCUACGGGUGAAAGCAGGGGAUCGCAAGACCUUGCGUUAUUGGAGCGGCCGAUAGCAGAUUAGCUAGUUGGUGGGGUAAAAGCCUACCAAGGCGACGAUCUGUAGCUGGUCUGCGAGGACGAACAGCCACACUGGGACUGAGACACGGCCCAGACUCCUACGGGAGGCAGCAGUGGGGAAUGUUGGACAAUGGGCGCAAGCCUGAUCCAGCCAUGCCGCGUGUGGGAAGAAGGCCUUCGGGUUGUAAACCACUUUUGUCAGGGAAGAAACGCUCUGGGCUAAUACCCUGGGGUAAUGACGGUACCUGAAGAAUAAGCACCGGCUAACUACGUGCCAGCCGCCGCCGUAAGAC
rnacentral:rRNA from 1 species